AGCAGUCGCCGCGGGAAUACAGAGGGUGCGAGCGUUAAUCGGAUUUACUGGGCGUAAAGCGUGCGUAGGCGGCUUUUUAAGUCGGAUGUGAAAUCCCUGAGCUUAACUUAGGAAUUGCAUUCGAUACUGGGAAGCUAGAGUAUGGGAGAGGAUGGUAGAAUUCCAGGUGUAGCGGUGAAAUGCGUAGAGAUCUGGAGGAAUACCGAUGGCGAAGGCAGCCAUCUGGCCUAAUACUGACGCUGAGGUACGAAAGCAUGGGGAGCAAACAGGAUUAGAUACCGUGUAGUCCCUGUCUCUUAUACA
rnacentral:rRNA from 1 species